GUUAACCCAUAGUUAUGCAGAGAGAAGUCAAUCAUCGAUUUGUGAAACUGAAGAGGCACCGCGUAGUGAUCAAAGCGAUUGAGAUGGCACAUCGAGGAACCACAUAUCAACUUAGCCAUAGCUGCAGCAUCUGAGAGGAUCGCUUUGGGUUCUCCCCCUGAAGCUGCUAAUCUUGUUUCUCAGUUGAUGGUCAAUGAUCGAGAAUAGAGAGUCGGCUGACCUGAAUCGAGCCGCAUGCAACCGCUGAUUACGCUCAUUCCAGGUCCAAUACAUCACAGCUUGCCAUCCUAGGAGAGUUAGAGCACUGGCGGGAGCUUUAAGAGGCAGAGUAGACAUCUGAAGAAGCGAGGAGACCCAAGUUCGAGCAGGAGUGAUUCGGCACCUAGUAGCAACAAGGUUCCAGAGAUCAAAAGAGAAAGGACAUUCCCAGUAUAGAUGAUCUCUGGACUCAUCGCAGUUAUUACAGAGGAGGCAGACAGGCGGAGUCUGCAAACCCCAGCUGAUUAAUCUAUCUCUCGUAGGAAGCCUAUUGAGUGCUACCAGCCAUCCAUGAAAGCUCUGUCGUGGGAUGCCCCUAGAGAUCCAAAUAGCUUUAGUCCAGACUUCAGCCGUUGCGCUACCUCGCAGUAAUAAAAGAGAGGACUUGGAGCUGGGUUUCUGUUCUUGCCGCUGGGAGAAACCACAUUCCAUCUCGAUGCAGUGAGGCUAGAGUUGCCCUUUGCGAGAUUCCAAGUCGCGAUCUCCCACCUUCCAAGUAGUCCUGAAGCUUCCCAUAGGGACUCCAAUUAUCAAUCCAGAAUCUGCAAGUUUCACCAUUUCGAAUGCGCAUCUGGAUAAGCGGGAGACCCACACCGAUUCUGGUCUAAAAAAGAGAAGCCAAAUCAAUCUUAGACAGCAAGCUUUAUUCCAUAGCCGAAGGUCUUUUACUCCAAGUCCACCCUCCUCCUUCGGUUUUGUAACCGUGGCCCAAGCAACCCUUGCCGAGUUGUUUGCCUCUAGGUUUCCUCGCCAUAGAAAAGUGUUGAUUCGAACAUGUCAAAUAACGGGCCACACUAAUUCUUCUGCAGAUUUCGAGCAUUACUAGAGCAUGUGUGGCCAGCACACUUGGGGGCACAAACUGCGUUAUUGGGAUCACUAUGGUGGUGAUUGGUAUUUAAUGGAGUAAAAAGGUGGAAUAUAGAGGAAAAAAAAGAGUAAAACCCAGAGUAAAAUUCCUUCUUAUUAAUGCAAGACAACAAUUUUUUUUUUGUAAACUAUACUCUUACUUUCUUUUGGCGUAAACAUGGUGAAAACAAGAUUUAUCUGAUUAGACAAAAGUGGAGUAAUUCAGCAGAAAUAUAUUUUACACUUUUUAAUCUAA